rnacentral:lncRNA from 1 species
GUGAAAGGGAAGCACUGACCCUCCCUCAUGCACUGACCCAGCUGAGAUUUCUCCAGAGACAGACCUGUAGAAGAGUGGAGGCCAAUCUGCAGUGAGAAGAAAGAAGAAGAUGAGGGGGACUAAGGGAUGUGUGUGUGUGAAAGCCAGGAAGGCUGAAGGGUCAGUCUCUGACUGCGCAUCUCAGGACAGAGAACACAG